CUUAACUAAUAAGCCUGGCUGAAAUAAUUUGUCUGGAGCACUUAUUGCUGCAGCUGCUGUACUAAAUUAGGCCAACAAAGUCUCUUCAGUUUGAUACCUGCAAGACAGUCUGCAUUAAUGUUGAAAUGAAUGCCGCAAAGGCUAACCUUAAUCCUCCAUUAACAAUAUAUGUAUGAAAUGGAUUUAAUGCUGCUGAGCUCCAGCAUUAAUACUCGGAAGCAAAGCAAUGAAGAAAAAAAUGUCUGCUCCUAAAUUCUUUCCCUCUGGCUUUACCCAAAUGUUUGCCUUGAGAUUUCUGAGGACACAGUCAUCCAUGACCUCUUGGCUAUCAGCACUUUGGUACAGCAUAAAAACCGCUCAGAAAGAGGAGACAUCUUUGACAGUUUGUUUAUUGCUGGAGUCCUGAGGAAAGAUGCAUCGGUGCAGCAGAGCCUGCCAGCUACGCAAGUUAAAGAUGGAUUAAAAAAAUUCAAAUCGGGAGAUAAUACAAACUGUUUUGUAUUCUGGCGUUUUACAACUGAUGAGAUUCCACCUCCUGAAUUUAGGAUCUAUCACCGUUUCGAAUAUGACCAAAUGCUGUGGCUCUGAUUAGGCAAUCUCUUCUGUGAGGGCAGACCCCAUGCCUGUGCAGAGGUCCACUAGCUUCAAUGGAGUGCCACAUGAAUACAGAUAGCUGCUGAAGUAGAGCAGUUUGCAGGAGUGAAGAGGCACAACUAAGGCCUGAUCCUGCAUUGUGGUCUUCGCAGAUGGACUUCUGUGCCUGAGCAGAGCUUCACUGAAAUCAUUCCUUCCAAAAUGUUGUUCUUUAUUAGCCAGUAUUAAAUUCUUUUCUCUACAUGUUACGAAGGCUGAGGAUGGAUUAGUGGAAUGAACGGUGCAUUGCUACUCCUUGGCACACGAUUGCCUUAUUAGGCACCAUCUACUUAAAAUUAGCAUGUUAAGAAACUUCAGUCAGAUCAGGGAAGGUACUCAGCUAAACAUCUCUCCCCAUCCUUCAUCCUGACUGAAUUGUACUUGCCACAUGAUUCCUUACAGUAUACACAGUGUUAUUCUCCCAAACAACUUGAACAGAUGAUUAUAACAAUAAUUUCAGAGAAAGAGUGACAUUUCCCAUCUAAAGACAACCAACCUUCAGAAAUCACCCUAAGGAAAUAGUAUAUUGGCGAUUUUUGGCUAGCUUUCCCCCACAGACUGCAUUCAAUUUGACAUACAGCUACUGUGCUGCAAGGCUGAGCAUCAUGAAUGAUUGCUACUGUUUUAAAGUUCAAAAGCAUUCUAUGAAUGAUCACCAGAUACUUUUAGAAUGUCCUAAUGUGAGAUAUUAAAAAUACAGAGGC